CCCAGCUGCGGACGGAGGACUUGGAGAGCUGUGGGAGGAGACUGGACUACAGCUGCCCCAGGGCCACUUGUCUCGGUCUGCCUAUCCUAGGUGAGCUGGGGUUUCCCCAAAUACCAUCGCAUCAUUCUUUAUCCACCUGUGAUCUCCCAGGAGUCAGGGCAGCAGCUGCAGGUCCGGAUCCAACCAAACCCAAGUGAGGUGAGCGCCUCUAUGUGGCUGGAACCAGAUACAGCAGCUGCAGUGGGUGCCGCGGCCAGGAGCCAGGACCGGGCUGGAUAGGACAGAAACUCCCAGAGAUCUCCCUCAGGACCGCCCAUCCUCUAUCCUGGAAGUGAGAGCUUCUUCCUUAGCCUCCAACAUAACACCACUUACACACUGAGAAACUCAGUUCCCUUCUUUUCUUUAGAAUGGAAUUUUGUGGUGUAGAGAAGAUUUAGGGAAUGAGUUGGUUCACUGAUGAUUGGGAGAUACAUGAGAUCAAACUCCAAGGGUUCUUACUCCAACUGGCUAGAAAUGAGGACCUAAGUUUGACCCUCAACUAAGGGCACCCUCCUUGAACCUCUUGCCUUUCUGUAAAAUGAGAUUAAUACCCAACCACCUAACAUGACCUAAAAAAGAAGUUUUU